rnacentral:rRNA from 1 species
GAUGAACGCUAGCGGCAGGCUUAACACAUGCAAGUCGAGGGGUAUAGUUCUUCGGAACUAGAGACCGGCGCACGGGUGCGUAACGCGUAUGCAAUCUACCUUUCACAGAGGGAUAGCCCAGAGAAAUUUGGAUUAAUACCUCAUAGUAUACAGACUCGGCAUCGAGAUUGUAUUAAAGUCACAACGGUGAAAGAUGAGCAUGCGUCCCAUUAGCUUGUUGGUAAGGUAACGGCUUACCAAGGCUACGAUGGGGUAGGGGU